GAUGAACGCUGACAGAAUGCUUAACACAUGCAAGUCUUUGGCGAAGCUGUGCUUGCACAGCCUAGCCAAGGCGGACGGGUGAGUAACGCGUAAGGAACUUGCCCUGCAGUCAGGGAUAACAGACGGAAACGACUGAUAAGACCUGGUAAAGUCAGGCGGACUCAUGUCCAGCCUGAUGAAAGGAGAUGCUGCAGGAGAGCCUUGCGUCCUAUUAGCUUGUUGGUGGGGUAACGGCCCACCAAGGCGAUGAUAGGUAGCCGGCCUGAGAGGGUGGACGGCCACAAGGGGACUGAGAUACGGCCCUUACUCCUACGGGAGGCAGCAGUGGGGAAUAUUGGACAAUGGGGGCAACCCUGAUCCAGCAAUUCUGUGUGCACGAUGAAGGUUUUCGGAUUGUAAAGUGCUUUCAGCAGGGAAGAAAAAAUGACGGUACCUGCAGAAGAAGCGACGGCUAAAUACGUG
rnacentral:rRNA from 1 species